GAUGAACGCUGGCGGCGUGCUUAAUACAUGCAAGUCGAACGGAGUAGCAAUACUCAGUGGCGACCGGGUGAGUAACACGUAGCUGAUCUGCCCUUCGACGGGGAAUAACAGUCCGAAAGGAUUGCUAAUACCGCAUACAUUUAGAGUGAUUAGAAGGCUCUAAAGAAACUUACGGGGUCGAAGGAGGAGGCUGCGGCCCAUCAGGUAGUUGGUGCGGUAACGGCGCACCAAGCCGACGACGGGUAGGGGACCUGAGAGGGUGACCCCCCACACUGGG
rnacentral:rRNA from 1 species